UGUGCAGCAGGCUCCUAGCUGGCCUCACCACCUCCACCUUGCUCCCUACAGCAUCUUCUUAGUACACAGCUAGGAGUCCUGUUAAUGUCAGCUCAUGCCACACAUCUGCUCAAAACCCUCCAAAGGCUUCCUCUCACUCUGAGUAAAAGCCAAGGCUCUACUCAAAGGAUAUCUGCUUUAUUUUCUGUUUAGAACUAACUGCUGUUUUGCUUAUCUGUCUCUCUCCUUAGAAGACAGACACAUGGUUUUGUGGGUGAGGCUCCUGCUGGGUCCUGUGCUUGGUGUCUCAGGCAUUCUGGCAAAGGUAGGAGCAUAACCAGAGAUGUCCCUAUUGCCUUCUCAGUGUGCACACUUUGAUGAAGCCAGCUGCCACAUUAGAGAAGUCUAUGUGACAAAGGAGCCUUCAGCACAUAGCCAGGGAGGAAUCAAGAUCCUCAGCCCAACAAGUUUGGCAGGAGGAACUGAAUCCUGCCAAAGCCAUGUGGGCUUGGAAGCAGAUCUUUCCCCCAAUGGAGCCUUUAGAGGAGACCACACCGCCUCUGUCAACACCUUAAUUACAGCCUUGCGGGAGACCCUGAAUCAGAGGAACACAGGAGCUCCUGCACCACACAUGCCUUCCUCAUGCAGUUAGUAUAAGAGUCCAAAGAAAGAAGAGAUUGAAAAGCACUUCAGAAAUUCUCAAACCCUGCACCAAUGUAAGGAACUACAGAACUGCAGGAGGAUUUACUCCCUUGUUGGUUAAUCACUUUUCAAAUGUGUUCCUUG
rnacentral:lncRNA from 1 species